AGUGAACGCUGGCGGUAGGCCUAACACAUGCAAGUCGAACGGCAGCACAGUAAGAGCUUGCUCUUACGGGUGGCGAGUGGCGGACGGGUGAGGAAUACAUCGGAAUCUACUUUUUCGUUGGGGAUAACGUAGGGAAACUUACGCUAAUACCGCAUACGACCUACGGGUGAAAGCAGGGGAUCUUCGGACCUUGCGCGAUUGAAUGAGCCGAUGUCGGAUUAGCUAGUUGGCGGGGUAAAGGCCCACCAAGGCGACGAUCCGUAGCUGGUCUGAGAGGAUGAUCAGCCACACUGGAACUGAGACACGGUCCAGACUCCUACGGGAGGCAGCAGUGGGGAAUAUUGGACAAUGGGCGCAAGCCUGAUCCAGCCAUACCGCGUGGGUGAAGAAGGCCUUCGGGCUGUAAAGCCCUUUUGUUGGGAAAGAAAAGCAGCAGGUUAAUACCCCGCUGUUCUGACGGUACCCAAAGAAUAAGCACCGGCUAACUUCGUG
rnacentral:rRNA from 1 species